GAAGUCGACUUGGAGGUUGUGCCCUUGAGGCGUGGCUUCCGGAGCUAACGCGUUAAGUCGACCGCCUGGGGAGUACGGCCGCAAGGUUAAAACUCAAAUGAAUUGACGGGGGCCCGCACAAGCGGUGGAGCAUGUGGUUUAAUUCGAUGCAACGCGAAGAACCUUACCUGGUCUUGACAUCCAGAGAAUCCUGCAGAGAUGCGGGAGUGCCUUCGGGAACUCUGAGACAGGUGCUGCAUGGCUGUCGUCAGCUCGUGUUGUGAAAUGUUGGGUUAAGUCCCGCAACGAGCGCAACCCUUAUCCUUUGUUGCCAGCGGUUCGGCCGGGAACUCAAAGGAGACUGCCGGUGAUAAACCGGAGGAAGGUGGGGAUGACGUCAAGUCAUCAUGGCCCUUACGACCAGGGCUACACACGUGCUACAAUGGCGCAUACAAAGAGAAGCGACCUCGCGAGAGCAAGCGGACCUCAUAAAGUGCGUCGUAGUCCGGAUUGGAGUCUGCAACUCGACUCCAUGAAGUCGGAAUCGCUAGUAAUCGUGGAUCAGAAUGCCACGGUGAAUACGUUCCCGGGCCUUGUACACACCGCCCGUCACACCAUGGGAGUGGGUUGCAAAAGAAGUAGGUAGCUUAACCUUCGGGAGGGCGCUUACCACUUUGUGAUUCAUGACUGGGGUGAAGUCGUAACAAGGUAACCGUAGGGGAACCUGCGGUUGGAUCACCUCCUUACCUGAAAGA
rnacentral:rRNA from 1 species